GGAUGGAAAGGCCAUAGCUCAGUGGCAAAGCAUCUGCCUUGCAUGCAGAAGGUCCCUGGUUCAAUCCCAGCAUCUCCACCA